AUGUCUGCCAGCCACUGUGCAGCUCCACUGCAGUGGUUGGUGGUUGAAUGCUUUGCUCAAGGGCAUUUCGAGGAGCAAUUAGGGAGGAGCAAGUGCUACUCGUUAAUUUCCCCAACUCAAAUGUAAAUGUGACCUCAAUAUAUUAGUUGACAACAAUAUGUGCUCUUGUGUUCCAUUUGUCAAUGUGAUGUAAUGUCUUAUUCCUGCCACAUGGGGGCUCUAGUGACCACACAUUUAGGUAAACGUAACAAAUCACUGUUUGGCCAUGCAGGGAGUUUCAUGUUGAGACUUCUGUGUGAAAAAUAAGUAUCGAAGAGAAUAAUAUUGUAUCACUGCACUUGGCUUUCAUCUCUACGGUCUCCUCGUAUUAGUCACGUCAGCAGGGCCACAGAGGCAGGAGGCCGAAUGCAGAGGCCCUGGAGGAGGGAUCCUGUAAUGGCGUCCUCAUUUUUAUUGUCUUGUGACUGCAAAGACAACAAAGCAACAGCUGAUUAAAAUCGGCACAGCAGGAAAUGGGACUUCGGGAGCUGAGAUCAACGUGUCUUCAAACAACGAUGCAGCGCCUGUCUCUCGAUCACAUCGUGCAAUGAUUUCUGACAGCAACGCUGCAAAGCACUGUGGACAAGACGACGAUGUGCCCUCCACUCCUCAUUAUAGUCCCCCAAAGAGAUAGUGUGCCCUCCCCCAGACACAAUAUCACCUGAUGCAAAUCAGUACAGGU